GGAUGUCGCGGGCGGUGCUAUUAUCGUCACAGAAGCUGGUGCGCUCGUGUUUGAUCCCUCUGGCAAGGAGUUUGACGUAACAUCUCAAAGGGUAGCAGCUUCCAACCCUCUUCUAAGGGAUGCAUUUGUGGAGGCUUUGGAG